UUGAAUUAUAUCAGCUUGCUUCUAAAUUAUUAUACUAUAAUGCACUCUAUGUGGGGCUGUCCUUUAAAAAAAGGCUCAGAAGCUACAGCUAGUGCAAAAUGCAACAAACAGAUGUAUCUGGCAUGCUCUUUAAAGACUAUAUAUUAGUGGGCCUGAACAAAGUGUAUGGGCUUCUUCUUUUUCCCCAAGCAAAAUUCAAGGGUCUGGUUUUUAUCUUUAAAGUCCUAAAUGGCUUUGGGCCAGGAUAUUUAAAAGACCACUUCCUUCUCUGUGACUCUGCUUGGAAUUACAAGUCUUCAGCAGAAGCCUGUUGCAUAUCCUAUCAACCUUAAAUGUUAGGCUGGUGAGUACACACAUCAGCAGCUGCCGUUUGAUUGUGGACAUCCCUCCAAAAAGAAGUUGACACCUUUCUUAGUGAGCUUCUGGACUUUGGUUCACUCCAGUUUGUCCCCCUUCUGAUUAGAGACACUCCCCUUCCCAUCACCAUUCCAGUCUUUUCCCAUGGCUCUCCUUCACUGAGCAUGGAAACGUUCCUGUUUUUGCUAAAUAAAAAAAAAAAAGGAAUGAUUCCCCUCCCCACACACAUUUGGAAGAUUAAAGAAAAUGGACCUUGGAGCAAACAGAAAAGAUGUUUAGAAUCAUUUGUAAAACAUGUUUCCAAGUGACAUAACCGAUAAUUAAGGGCACAGACUUAAAGAUUUCAUCUGUUGAUGACAGAAGCUUACCUGACGUGAUCAGAGAGAAGAGUUCACAGCCUAUGGCUAGGAUAAUCGACCUCUUUGAAUUAUAGGAAGCAUGAAUAGAACACACAAGCUCAUUUUUGGCCAUGCUUCAAAACUGGUGAACCUUUGUACUUAAGGUUCAGAAGACAGCUUUGAAGUUUGGGAUAAAACUCCUCUAACACAUCAUUACCAAAGAACAACCUUUUGAUUAUGAUCUCAUGAAAGUAUAAUCAAUAACUUAUGCACGCAAAAAGUGUAGUUUAGAAGCAAAGGUUUUGUAAUUGGAACUUUAUUCAUUCCGUGACUUUCUCUACUGGUUUUAUUUUGUACUCCUGUAUAAUAAAUCUCUCUUCUCCAAAAGGAAACUCUCUAUGGAGCUAUGAAACUUUUGUAGCUACUGCCAGUCAUUGACUAGUUAAGGCCAUGAAAGCAGGCUUAUGUGGCAUCUUUUAGACAUGUACACUUGUUGAAAUCCAAAGUUUAACCAUCAUCUGUCAUUAAGAUAAUAUUUUUCUGAGUGAACUAAUUUUCUGUAAAGAUUGAAACAAUAAAUGCUUAAGAAACAAA